AUACACGGAUACACGGAUAGCGAACACAUCGUGAGUGCAGCCAAACCUAAUCUGCUUGACAUCAUGUCGCGCAAACAUAACCGUGAGAGUGCUGCGGCCGCGUCGGCAGGUGAUGCCGCGGAAACCAUCGCCACCGCCGUCGCUGCCACGCCGCCAAGUCUGUCAACAUCGCCGUCCUCGCAGAAUUCUGACGGUGCUACCAACUUUGGCGGGUUUGUGUGGAACGAUGUGAGCAUCGUACUCUUCUACCGUCUCAUGCACGAGAUCCACGGUGUCUGCCUGGCGCUCGUGAAGGCCGCACCGGAGGCGCGGCCCGCCAUCCUGGCCAGCUUUGCGUCCUCCAUAGAUGUGAUUUGGACCGUUGCCAAGCGGCAGCUCACAGAGGAGGAGCGCGCGCAGUCCGCCACUAGAUUUAAAGUGUAUGCUGAGGCCUUCGUGGCAGUGCUGCAAAGGUGCGUGAGGGAUGCUGCCGACGGUGGGACCGUGGCGCUCUGUCGGUCUCUGCAGCGCCUCCUGGAGGAGCAGGGUUUUCCUGAGGCCGAGUUCGGCCCGUUGGCGAGCUACUUCGCCGAGUUGCUCCUCGAGGAAGACGUGCAGGGCUACUCGUACAGUGAGCGAGCGUCGUUGGUGAUGCCAAUGCCGGCGCGCUACGAUGGCGACAAGCGCUCGGAGGAGGAGCACUCGCGCAAGCGUGCCGGGUUCGAGGUGGUGCUUCCGCUGUUCCACCCGCAUCCCGAGGUGAACACGGUAAUCCAGCUUUCGGAACCCAAGAAGCGCAAGCCGGCGCUAGACGAGUACCGCAUCUUUUCCUUGCCCAAGAAGGCGGCCGGCUUCGCGGCAGACGACUUCGUGGUGGAUGACGAACUGCUGCACCGCGCGUACGUGGUGCUCGCAACGCACCUGGACGCGUACGGCUCCCUCAAGGGCCUCUCCCCGUACGCUCGCCUCCUUCUUUGGAACUUGCUAGACCGCAACGACACCCUCUUUAGCGCAUUGUACGACCAGCACGUCACGUCUGAGUCGAUGCGGCAGCAGCUGCUGAAGGUGCGCGAGCUGCUGGCGGUGCACAAGCAGGCCUUCGAAGAGACACGCGUGGCGGCACGGCAGACGGCGUCACUGGUAGGCUGGUACGCCACGAGUGCGCAGUGGCGCGACCAGGCCCUGAGUAGGCUGGACGAAUUGGAGGAGUCGGAUUGGUACUUACUCGCAGAUGUGUACCGCAGCGGCGGCAAAGCCAUCUUCCCAAACUACGCAAGGAGCAACGCCGUGGCUCAUCUUGCGUUGGGUGCGGUUCGGAAGCUGGACAAGAUCCAUGGCCGGGAACUGGACGGAGCGCCGCCCGUGCACAAGGUCGUUUUACAACUUCUGCUCCCCCUUCUGAUGGGCGAGGUGCCGGAACUGGGGGAGUGCUGCUUUGGCCACGGUGCCUUCGGCGCCAACAGCCCGCACUGGCAGCGGCGCCGCCGAAAGCUGAAGACAGUGAUGGAUGAGGUAGCGCGAAAGACGACGUUGUCAGCAACGAAGACGUCGGCAUCGUCGCAGGCCAGCGUUUGCACGUACCUGUGCGCAUCGCUCAUCUUUCCCCUUCAGUGCCUCGGAGAGCUGCUGGAGCUGUGCUCGCUCGUCACAUUCUCCCCGAUGGGCUUCGACGCCUUCACGCGCAGCUUCUUAGCCACCAACUGGGAAGAGGAGGGCGCUAUCCUUGCCUACCUGCUACGACGCGAGCCGGCGAACCCGUCACUGGUGCCUCUAGUGGGCAUUCCUCGCGUCUACAAGGACAUGGUGACGUCUGUCCAGCUACUAAUGGCGGACAAGAUGGUGCCGUACGUGGUGGAGGCACGUCGACUAGCAGGCGAGCAUGCACGGGUUUCGGUUCGACACCGAAGCUACCCCUACUGGAAGGCGCUCUGUACAAUGUUCGAUGAGGAGGGCCGCUUCGACGAUCUUUGCGCGCUGCAGGUGAGCACGAAGGAGGACCCGACGCGCCUCUACACCGCGGCUGGCCUCGAGCUGGUUCCGAAGGUAUGGCCUGAGGAUUUGGUGGGGCUGCGUGAGGAGGAGGAAAGCUGCCGCUGUGUUGCAGGCUAAGAGGGCCCAGGCGGUCGUGUGCUCGGAUGUGCUGGCGCGUGCGUGCGCAUGCGUGCCGUGUCCGCCUGGAACGAGUCGGAGCCCCAACCCACAGUUGGGCGAGUCGGCAGAGGCGGAGUGCUUUGCUGAUCGCCCUCUUUUGCUUGCGCAAAAGAACGCGCAUGAUAGUUUGUGAGGGGCGUCGUCGAUCCGCGCCUCCGCCUACUUCUUGGAGUGAUCACCGCAAAAAAG
rnacentral:misc_RNA from 1 species